rnacentral:rRNA from 1 species
AACGAACGCUGGCGGCAUGCCUAACACAUGCAAGUCGAACGAGACCUUCGGGUCUAGUGGCGCACGGGUGCGUAACGCGUGGGAACCUGCCCUUAGGUUCGGAAUAACUCCCCGAAAGGGGUGCUAAUACCGGAUAAUGUCUUCGGACCAAAGAUUUAUCGCCUUUGGAUGGGCCCGCGUUGGAUUAGCUAGUUGGUUGGGUAAAAGCCUACCAAGGCGACGAUCCAUAGCUGGUCUGAGAGGAUGAUCAGCCACACUGGGACUGAGAAACGGCCCAGACUCCUACGGGAGGCAGCAGUGGGGAAUAUUGAACAGUGGGCGAAAGCAUGAUCCAGCAAUGCCGCGUGAGUGAUGAAGGCCUGAGGGUUGUAAAGCUCUUUUACCCGGGAUGAUAAUGACAGUACCGGGAGAAUAAGCUCCGGCUAACUCCGUG